rnacentral:rRNA from 1 species
UUUUACUCCGCUGGUGAACCAGCGGGAGGGAUCAUUA